rnacentral:rRNA from 1 species
GUGGGGAAUAUUGGACAAUGGGCGCAAGCCUGAUCCAGCAAUGCCGCGUGGGUGAAGAAGGCCUUCGGGUUCUAAAGCCCUUUUGUACGGGAAGAAAUCAUUAGGGUUAAUACCCUGGGUGGAUGACGGUACCGUAAGAAUAAGCACCGGCUAACUUCGUGCCAGCAGCCGCGGUAAUACGAAGGGUGCAAGCGUUAAUCGGAAUUACUGGGCGUAAAGCGUGCGUAGGUGGUUGUUCAAGUCUGUCGUGAAAGCCCUGGGCUCAACCUGGGAAUGGCGAUGGAAACUGGGCGACUAGAGUGCGGUAGAGGAUGGCGGAAUUCCCGGUGUAGCGGUGAAAUGCGUAGAGAUCGGGAGGAACAUCCGUGGCGAAGGCGGCCAUCUGGAUCAGCACUGACACUGAGGCACGAAAGCGUGGGGAGCAAACAGGAUUAGAAACCCUAGUAGUCC